rnacentral:rRNA from 1 species
AUUGAACGCUGGCGGCAUGCUUUACACAUGCAAGUCGAACGGUAACAGGCCGCAAGGUGCUGACGAGUGGCGAACGGGUGAGUAAUGCAUCGGAACGCGCCCAGUCGUGGGGGAUAACGCAGCGAAAGCUGUGCUAAUACCGCAUACGAUCUAUGGAUGAAAGCGGGGGACCGUAAGGCCUCGCGCGAUUGGAGCGGCCGAUGUCAGAUUAGGUAGUUGGUGGGGUAAAGGCUCACCAAGCCAACGAUCUGUAGCUGGUCUGAGAGGACGACCAGCCACACUGGGACUGAGACACGGCCCAGACUCCUACGGGAGGCAGCAGUGGGGAAUUUUGGACAAUGGGCGCAAGCCUGAUCCAGCAAUGCCGCGUGCAGGAAGAAGGCCUUCGGGUUGUAAACUGCUUUUGUACGGAACGAAACGGCGAGCCCUAAUACAGUUUGCUAAUGACGGUACCGUAAGAAUAAGCACUGGCUAACUACGUGCCAGCCGCCGCCGUAA